GUAUCUCUGUAGAGUCUGCAUAUCAAUAAGCGGAGGAAAAGAAACUAACAAGGAUUCCCUUAGUAACGGCGAGUGAAGCGGGAAGAGCUCAAAUUUGAAAUCUUCAAGGGUUUACCUUUACGAAUUGUAGUUUAAAGAAGUGUUUUCUGUUGGAGUUUCGGUAAAAGUUCUUUGGAAUAGGACAUCAUAGAGGGUGAGAAUCCCGUAUUUGACCGUUACUUUCAGCUGUGUGAUACACUUUCAAAGAGUCGGAUUGUUUGGGAAUGCAGUCCAAAAUGGGUGGUAAAUUUCAUCUAAAGCUAAAUAUUGGCGAGAGACCGAUAGCGAACAAGUACCGUGAGGGAAAGAUGAAAAGAACUUUGAAAAGAGAGUUAAACAGUACGUGAAAUUGUCAAAAGGGAAGCGUUUGACACCAGUGUUGUUUAGUUGAAAAUCAAUUCAAUAGUUUUCGAUUCUAAGUAGUAUUGACCUUCAUCAGCUUGCUGCUUUCUUCUCAGGAAAUUAUUUAAUGCACUUUUCAGUUAACAAGUCAACAUCAAUUUCUUUUGUUGUAAAAGGGUAAGAGGAAGGUGGCUUGCGCUUCGGCUCAAGUGUUUAUAGCCUUUUAUCUCUGCAAUCGGAGAGAUUGAGGUCUGCAGCGUAGAUCCUUCGGGGUUAGAUACAUUGUGCUAAGCUAUAGCCUUGUAUAGACAACUUGUUGACUAUGCUCAGUCAUGUAGCUUACUCGCUUAUGCUAUUUUACCUACGCUUAGGAUGUUGAACGCGCACAGAGUCUC
rnacentral:rRNA from 1 species